rnacentral:rRNA from 1 species
AACGGAGAGAUAUGAGAGCUUGCUCUUGUAAAUCUUAGUGGCGAACGGGUGAGUAACGCGUAAACAACCUGCCCAACGGAUGGGGACAACAGACGGAAACGACUGCUAAUACCCAAUAGACUCCGGUUUCGCAUGAAACCGACAGGAAAGGUGGCCUCUCGAAGAAGCUACCGCCGCAGGAGGGGUUUGCGUUUGAUUAGUUAGUUGGUGGGGUAACGGCCUACCAAGACGAUGAUCAAUAGCCGGUCUGAGAGGAUGAACGGCCACACUGGAACUGAGACACGGUCCAGACUCCUACGGGAGGCAGCAGUGGGGAAUCUUCCGCAAUGGACGAAAGUCUGACGGAGCAACGCCGCGUGAGUGAAGACGGCCUUCGGGUUGUAAAGCUCUGUUAUUCGGGAAGAACGAUUCGUUUGUGAACAAUGAACGGAAGUGACGGUACCGAAAGAGAAAGCCACGGCUAACUACGUGCCAGCAGCCGCGGUAAUACGUAGGUGGCAAGCGUUGUCCGGAAUUAUUGGGCGUAAAGAGCGCGUAGGCGGUAUGGUAAGUCUGUCUUAGAAGUGCGGGGCUUAACCCCGUGAGGGGACAGAGACUGUCAUACUGGAGUCUCGGAGAGGAAAGCGGAAUUCCUAGUGUAGCGGUGAAAUGCGUAGAGAUUAGGAAGAACACCGGUGGCGAAGGCGGCUUUCUGGACGACCACUGACGCUGAGGCGCGAAAGCGUGGGGAGCGAACAGGAUUAGAUACCCUGGU